GUGGGGAAUAUUGGACAAUGGGGGAAACCCUGAUCCAGCCAUGCCGCGUGCAGGAAGAAGGCCUUCGGGUUGUAAACUGCUUUUGUACGGAACGAAACGGCUCUGGUUAAUACCCGGGGCUAAUGACGGUACCGUAAGAAUAAGCACCGGCUAACUACGUGCCAGCAGCCGCGGUAAUACGUAGGGUGCAAGCGUUAAUCGGAAUUACUGGGCGUAAAGCGUGCGCAGGCGGUUUUGUAAGACAGGCGUGAAAUCCCCGGGCUCAACCUGGGAAUGGCGCUUGUGACUGCAAAGCUGGAGUGCGGCAGAGGGGGAUGGAAUUCCGCGUGUAGCAGUGAAAUGCGUAGAUAUGCGGAGGAACACCGAUGGCGAAGGCAAUCCCCUGGGCCUGCACUGACGCUCAUGCACGAAAGCGUGGGGAGCAAACAGGAUUAGAAACCCCGGUAGUCC
rnacentral:rRNA from 1 species